rnacentral:lncRNA from 1 species
CAAUGAAAUGUAAAUUAAAUGGGGCUCUAGACACCUUCUCUAGCUUUCUUCAUUGCUUUCUCACUAGGACCCUCAGAUUUUAUUUAUCCCAAAUUGUUCCACAUUUAGUCUUCUGCUCUAAUCUUCUUUUGCAUUUUCUAUUUUCCAGGGAGGCUUGGGUCUGGGAAUUACAUUGUCAGACCUUUGAGAUGCCUUUCACUCCCGUUUCAUCCCAGAAAGGAAUUCUUGUGUUUUUCAUUGCUGCUGUCCCCUGACCCCACUUCUUAACUAAAUGUGUUAAGUGAUUUGGGGGAGUUAUAUAAACUCUUAAAGGCCCACUUUCUUCUUCUCUAAAUUGCCACUAAUGUCCUUUUUACAGUGCCCUUUCUUACAGAAUUAUUGUGAGGACUAGUGAGACACUAUGUACAUUACGUGCCACAUGGGAGACAUUAAACAAAUGAUGGCAAUUAUUCUGGUCUCGAUCACUCAUCCAGUUACCACCACAUACCCAGCCACCAACUGCACAAAUACAAGGGGUCAUCUCUCCAAGCAAGAUCCUUUGUGCAUUUAUUCUCUUUCCAACUAGCCCUGAAAUAAUAUCGACCAGAUCUAUUUUCUCCUCUCCUCCAGCUUCUCUGAGUAGCAGAGGCAAUAAACUAAUAAUGGCAUGUUGUUUCCCAACUUGGAAAAUUAACAUGAACGUCUACGUUGUCCUGGCAGUUGUCGAGUGCAGUCAUUUUCCAGGCAGCCAACUAAAGGCCAUGCACAGAGCUGCCUUUGUUGUGAGAAACAUGAUUUCUCUGAAGUUUAUGGUGAUGCUGAAGUUAUUUUGUACAACCCACUGUUCCUGGCUCAAAUACAUGCAAAUGACAGCAAACAUUCUGACAGAGAUACAGAGGACAUGGAAAAGAGGGUUAGUCUAUUCAAUGAGCUGGCAGAACUUGAUCAUUUCUACUUCUGUGUUCUAAAUUUUAACAUAUGCAACUUUGAAUUUUACCUACAAUUUUAAAGGAAAGUAACUGGUUUUAAACCCAUAUUCUUUUUUUCUUCUGAAUUACUGUGGAAAUAAAUUAAGUAGCUUUUCUUUGACAACUGUUAAUUAUACCCUAAUACAAUUAACUUGGCAGUAGACUUGGCAAAAAGUAAUAUUCUA